UACAAAAAACAUAGAUAAGAAUGAGAAAAUUGAUCAGUAUAUGCUAAUAUAGUGUGAUUAAAAUCAUUUUUAAAUUAAUAGCAUUUCCUUAAGACAAAUGAUUUUUUUUACAUUAUUCUCUUAGUAUAAAAAGUCGAAGCAUUUUGCAAAAUUUACUCAUUUCUAUUCCAAUUCUCUUGAACCAUUGUUCAACAGUUCUUAAACACAAAUCAAAAUGGCUAGCAUCAAAUUUUCCGGACUAUUGAUAAUGUUGAUUGUCGCAAUUAUUAUGUUGAUGGCUCCUAAUGCUAUGGCUAUUGUUAAACAUGGACAAUGUCAACCUGAUGGAAGUAUGGGCAAUUGUGACUCAGGAUAUUGUCACAAAGAAUCUGGCUGGAGAUAUGGAGAGUGCAGAUAAUUGAAUUACUUCAUUGAAUUAAAAGAAACAAGUGUCUUCGGUUAAUUUGUUAUCUCAAAUAAAAUUUGUCCAUUUAAAAACAUA